rnacentral:lncRNA from 1 species
AUGAAAGUUGGAAGACGGGGCUGAUUGUGACAGCAACAGCAUGUGACUUAUCAAGAGUCAACGUAAAGGCUCUAGAUAUCCUCGGUGUCGUGAAGGAGACAUAUUUCAACUAAAUGAUAAUGAUAAAUUUAAAAAGUUUUUAUUGUCAACCGAAAUACAAUCAGAUGUGCAUUCCAGCAAGUGUUCUACUGUAGAUCUAGAACCACUAACUGCUGACGCAACAGCUGUAAUAGAGCAGGUGUCUGGUGAAGUUCAGACAUGACCAUAUGUCUGUGGGUUUAUAUGUAAAAAAAUUAUACAAUCUAAUGAAUGUACUACUUGUACAGAAAUAUUUUUGGCUUCAGGACCCACAGACAAUGUUUACGUAACCUUAAUUUAUUUAAAAGUCUCAUUCCCCCCCUAAGGAUCCAUGUGUACUAUAUGGAUGGAUAAUUUCACAAAGUAACGGCCAUUGUAAAUACUUUUUAUUUAAUAGAUUUCUUUGAAAAUUUAAAACAUCUAUUGAACGUUAGAUUUAAUUGAACUGGCAUCCAUUUUAAUUUUAUACUAGUUUUUGGAAGCACCUACGUAUAGGAAUGGAAGUUAUGAGUUAAUUGUAAGUUGACUAAAUGUAAAAAAUAUUUAAUUGUAUUUUAUCUUAAGUUUGAAUUUCUUAAUUAUAUUUUAUUAACCCUUAUCCAAAUAAAUACUUUUAUCGCUUCUAAUAAUAA